CAUUUUUCUCUUGCCGAUCCAGUUUUCUGUUCAGAAUGUUGUGCAUUGACCAUUUCGCGCCAUUGUUACAUUUAAGCGGAAUUUGGUGCCGUGAAUUAAAAAAUCCUAUCCCCUUUGAGGAAGUAGAUAGGGUUCAAAAGAUUGCAUUUUUUCGGCAUCUUGUUCUGUCCUGCUCAGAUGUAGGUUCUAUUAUGAGUUAAAAAAGAAAGUGUCAAUUAUAUCAAGUUUUAAAUAGGAUUCUCAACAAAAAAAUCUUGUAAAAGAACGAUCUUUUGACUGAUUGUCAUUCAAAUUUGCAUUGUUACCAUUUUUUUUGUCUCUUUAGGUGUGAAGUAAAAAGUUUACAAGGUCGCUUGAGUAUUUUGCCUGUUGGUUGUGUGUUUUGCCAUGGUCAACUAAAAUGUAAGUGAACAAGGCAAAGACGAUGGCUUUGAGCAACAGGUGCUUUGGUCAAGGUCAUUUCGGAAGAUUGGAUUUUCAAUUGGUCUUGUGAAAGGACUUGUGAAGCUCAGAGAAAGUAGAGAAAGGGGCAAGGCCAAGGUUCAGUUGUACCCAGUUAAGUGGAUUGCUGGCCUGCUGCUAGGGAAACAUGUAUUUCAGCCUUACUUGCUGAGCUUACAUUAUGUUCCGAUGGAGGAUGUUUGUUUGAAUAUUUUA